rnacentral:rRNA from 1 species
GAUUAACGCUAGCGGCAGGCCUAAUACAUGCAAGUUGAACGGGAUUUCGGGUAGCAAUAUCUGAAUGAGAGUAGCGCACGGGUGCGUAACACGUAUGCAACCUACCUAUAACUGGGGGAUAGCCUCCCGAAAGGGAGAUUAAUACCGCAUAAUAUUAUUGAGUGGCAUCACUUGAUAAUUAAACCUCAGGGGGUUAUAGAUGGGCAUGCGUCCGAUUAGCUAGUUGGUGAGGUAAUGGCUCACCAAGGCG